CCAAAAUACAAUGAAAACAAAGGCUUGCUAUACGAAGAAAGAGAGAACAGAGUUUGUAAUCGUAAGUCAGAGAGAUUCCUGCCUCCGCUGUUCCCUCGCCAUACUUCGACCACCAAAACUGCAAACACACAGUCUCUUCCAUUCCGAUUCUCCUUCUCUUUCAACAAAUUCAGCCGUUCUCUCUGUCUUUCUUAAAAGUAAAAACCCUAGCCAUUGAGUUCUCUUUCUAUCAGCCCAACCUCCACCCAUAUAUCACCGGGAAAAACCCCACGUAAAACAUCAAGCGGUUGGAAGUGAAGCCCCAAUCCCAAUCAACCCGAUUAAAAGGAAAAAAAAAUCAAAAACUUCCAUUGCCCAUGUAUCCAUAGUUUGCAAUCAGAGAACGUCUUUCAAUUUCUCUGUCGGCUAGUUUUCUCUUUGCUUUUCAGUUGUGCAUUAAUUAUGAUCAGGUACUAUCAUUUUAGUUGUGGGCACAAUUUAAUGUGUUUUGAUGUCUGUGUUUGCGGUUCACAAGUAGAGGGAUAUCACUCCAUUGGAUGUGAAUGGUGACGUUGGGGUCUCAGACAAAAGAUGGGGAGAUGAAGAAGUUUUAAGACAAAGAACAUGAAGCUAACAACAACCAAGUUGCCUUCUCCACCAAAUUUCUUCCAAGGAUAUUCUCAUCAUUCUCUUUUUAACUUUCUUUUUUUGGCUAAUAAUUUGUAUCCAUCACAGGAGAUGUUACCAACCACUUUAGUUGCUUAUAAUAUACUUGAAAGAAAUAUAUUUGUAAGAAGCAUAUUGUUUUGGAAAUUAUAGUUGUAAUUAUACUUUCUAAACCUAUUUAUUUUUAUCUAUUUCUAAUUAAUUAUUGUUAUUAAAAUUCUAUCAAAUAUCUCCUCAUUAUCAAUAAUUUAAGUUGCUUCAUUCAUUGAACCAAUUUU